rnacentral:lncRNA from 1 species
GGCUUGUUGUUAUGAAAAGUGUUUGUUUUGGCGAGUUUGAACGUUUUUGAGCAUGUGUAAUGGCAUGAAUGCGUUAAGCUGUUGUUUUAGUUUUCUUUUGAUGAGUUUGGCUUGUUGUUAUGAACAUUGUUCGUUUUGGCCAGUUUGAAGGUUUUUUAGCAUGUGUAAUGGUAUGAAUGUGUUGAAUUAGUAAUCCCUUGUGUUAAGCCGUUGUUUUAGUGUUCUUUUGAUGAGUUUGGCUUGUUGUUAUGAAAAGUGUUUGUUUUGGCGAAUUUGAACGUUUUUGAGCAUGUGUAAUGGCAUGAAUGCGUUAAGCUGUUGUUUUAGUGUUCUUUUGAUGAGUUUGGCUUGUUGUUAUGAAAAGUGUUUGUUUUGGCGAGUUUGAACGUUUUUGAGCAUGUGUAAUGGCAUGAAUGCGUUAAGCUGUUGUUUUAGUGUUCUUUUGAUGAGUUUGGCUUGUUGUUAUGAACAUUGUUCGUUUUGGCCAUUUUGAAGUUUUUUUAGCAUGUGUAAUGGCAUGAAUGUGUUAAAUUAGUAAUCCCUUGUGUUAAGCCGUGGUUUUAGUGUUCUUUUGAUGAGUUUGGCUUGUUGUUAUGAAAAGUGUUUGUUUUGGCGAGUUUGAACGUUUUUGAGCAUGUGUAAUGGCAUGAAUGCGUUAAGCUGUUGUUUUAGUGUUCUUUUGAUGAGUUUGGCUUGUUGUUAUGAAAAGUGUUUGUUUUGGCGAGUUUCAACGUUUUUGAGCAUGUGUAAUGGCAUGAAUGCGUUAAGUUGUUGUUUUAGUGUUCUUUUGAUGAGUCUGGCUUGUUGUUAUGAAAAGUGUUUGUUUUGGUGAGUUUGAACGUUUUUGAGCAUGUGUAAUGGCAUGAAUGCGUUAAGCUGUUGUUUUAGUGUUCUUUUGAUGAGUUUGGCUUGUUGUUAUGAAAAAAGUUUGUUUUGGCGAGUUUGAACGUUUUUGAGCAUGUGUAAUGGCAUGAAUGCAUUAAGCUGUUGUUUUAGUGUUCUUUUGAUGAGUUUGGCUUUUUGUUAUGAACAUUGUUCGUUUUGGCCAGUUUGAAGGUUUUUGAGCAUGUGUAAUGGGAUGAAUGUGUUCUAUUAGUAAUCCCUUGUGUUAAGCCGUUGUUCUAGUGUUCUUUUGAUGAGUUUGGCUUGUUGUUAUGAAAAGUGUUGGUUUAGGCGAGUUUGAACGUUUUUAAGCAUGUGUAAUGGCAUGAAUGCGUUAAGCUGUUGUUUUAGUGUUCUUAUGAUGACUUUGGCUUGUUGUCAUGAACAUUGUUCGUUUUGGCCAUUUUGAAGUUUUUUUAGCAUGUGUAAUGGCAUGAAUGUGUUGAAUUACUAAUCCCUUGUGUUAAGCCGUUGUUUUAGUGUUCUUUUGAUGAGUUUGGCUUGUUGUUAUGAAAAGUGUUUGUUUUGGCGAGUUUGAACGUUUUUGAGCAUGUGUAAUGGCAUGAAUGCGUUAAGCUGUUGUUUUAGUGUUCUUUUGAUGAGUCUGGCUUGUUGUUAUGAAAAGUGUUUGUUUUGGCGAGUUUGAACGUUUUUGAGCAUGUGUAAUGCCAUGAAUGCGUUAAGCUGUUGUUGUAGUGUUCUUUUGAUGAUUUUGGCAUGUUGUUAUGAACAUUGUUCGUUUUGGCGAGUUUGAACGUUUUUUAGCAUGUGUAAUGGCAUGAAUGUGUUGAAUUAGUAAUCCCUUAUGUGAAGCCGUUGUUUUAGUGUUCUUUUGAUGAGUUUGGCUUGUUGUUAUGAAAAGUGUUUGUUUUGGCGAAUUUGAACGUUUUUGAGCAUGUGUAAUGGCAUGAAUGCGUUAAGCUGUUGUUUUAGUGUUCUUUUGAUGAGUUUGGCUUGUUGUUAUGAUAAGUGUUUGUUUUGGCGAGUUUGAACGUUUUUGAGCAUGUGAAAUGGCAUGAAUGCGUUAAGCUGUUGUUUUAGUGUUCUUUUGAUGAGUUUGGCUUGUUGUUAUGAAAAGUGUUUGUUUUGGCGAGUUUGAACGUUUUUGAGCAUGUGAAAUGGCAUGAAUGCGUUAAGCUGUUGUUUUAGUGUUCUUUUGAUGAGUUUGGCUUGUUGUUAUGAAAAGUGUUUGUUUUGGCGAGUUUGAACAUUUUUGAGCAUGUUUAAUGGCAUGAAUGCGUUAAGCUGUUGUUUUAGUGUUCUUUUGAUGAGUUCGGCUUGUUGAUAUGAACAUUGUUCGUUUUGGCCAGUUUGAAGGUUUUUUAGCAUGUGUAAUGGUAUGAAUGUGUUGAAUUAGUAAUCCGUUGUGUUAAGCCGUUGUUUUAGUGUUCUUUUGAUGAGUUUGGCUUGUUGUUAUGAAAAGUGUUGGUUUAGGCGGAUUUGAACGUUUUUGACUAUGUGUAAUGGCAUGAAUGCAUUAAGCUGUUGUUUUAGUGUUCUUUUGAUGAGUUUGGCUUUUUGUUAUGAACAUUGUUCGUUUUGGCCAGUUUGAAGGUUUUUGAGCAUGUGUAAUGGCAUGAAUGUGUUCUAUUAGUAAUCCCUUGUGUUAAGCCGUUGUUUUAGUGUUCUUUUGAUGAGUUUGGCUUGUUGUUAUGAAAAGUGUUUGUUUUGGCGAGUUUGAAGGUAUUUUAGCAUGUGUAAUGUCAUAAAUGUGUUGAAUUAGUAAUCCCUUGUGUUAAGCCGUUGUUUUAGUGUUCUUUUGAUGAGUUUUGCUUGUUGUUAUGAAAAGUGUUUGUUUUGGCGAGUUUGAACGUUUUUGAGCAUGUGUAAUGGCAUGAAUGCGUUAAGCUGUUGUUUUAGUGUUCUUUUGAAGAGUUCGGCUUGUUGAUAUGAACAUUGUUCGUUUUGGCCAGUUUGAAGGUUUUUUAGCAUGUGUAAUGGUAUGAAUGUGUUGAAUUAGUAAUCCGUUGUGUUAAGCCGUUGUUUUAGUGUUCUUUUGAUGAGUUUGGCUUGUUGUUAUGAAAAGUGUUGGUUUAGGCGAGUUUGAACGUUUUUGAGCAUGUGUAAUGGCAUGAAUGCAUUAAGCUGUUGUUUUAGUGUUCUUUUGAUGAGUUUGGCUUUUUGUUAUGAACAUUAUUCGUUUUGGCCAGUUUGAAGGUUUUUUAGCAUGUGUAAUGGUAUGAAUGUGUUGAAUUAGUAAUCCGUUGUGUUAAGCCGUUGUUUUAGUGUUCUUUUGAUGAGUUUGCCUUGUUGUUAUGAACAUUGUUCGUUUUGGCCAGUUUGAAGGUUUUUGAGCAUGUGUAAUGGCAUGAAAGUGUUGAAUUAGUAAUCCCUUGUGUUAAGCUGUUGUUUUGGUGUUCUUUUGAUGAGUUUGGCUUGUUGUUAUGAAAAGUGUUUGUUUUGGCGAGUUUGAACGUUUUUGAGCAUGUGUAAUGGCACUAAUGCAUUAAGCUGUUGUUUUAGUGUUCUUAUGAUGAGGUUGGCUUGUUGUUAUGAACAUUGUUCGUUUU